UACGGAGGGUGCGAGCGUUGUCCGGAAUCACUGGGCGUAAAGCGCGCGUAGGCGGUUUGUUAAGUGGGAUGUGAAAGCCCCGGGCUUAACCUGGGAAUUGCAUUUCAAACUGGCGAACUAGAGUGCGGUAGAGGGAGGUAGAAUUUCCUGUGUAGCGGUGAAAUGCGUAGAUAUAGGAAGGAAUACCAGUGGCGAAGGCGGCCUCCUGGAUCGACACUGACGCUAAGGCGCGAAAGCGUGGGGAGCAAACAGG
rnacentral:rRNA from 1 species